AUUGAACGCUGGCGGCAGGCCUAACACAUGCAAGUCGAACGAGUGGCGGACGGGUGAGUAAUGUCUGGGAAACUGCGCGAUGGAGGUGGAUAACUACUGGAAACGGUAGCUAAUCCCGCAUACCAUCGGAUCUGCCCAGAUGGGAUUAGCUGGUAGGGGGGGUAACGGCUCACCUGGGCGACGAUCCCUAGCUGGUCUGAGAGGAUGAUCAGACACUCUGGAACUGAGACACUGUCCAGACUCCUACGGGAGGCAGCAGGGGGGAAUAUUGCACAAUGGGCGCAAGCCUGAUGCAGCAAUGCCGCGUGUAUGAAGAAGGUCUUCGGGUUGUAAAGCACUUUCAGCGCGGAGGCGUUACUCGCAGAAGAAGCACCGGCUAACUCCGUGCCAGCAGCCGCGGUAAUAC
rnacentral:rRNA from 1 species